GUUUUCUUUAUCAGAUAAUAACU
rnacentral:snRNA from 1 species